GCCGGGCGUGGUGGCGGGUGCCUGUAGUCCCAGCUACUUGGGAGGCUGAGGCAGGAGAAUAGCUUGAACCCAGGAGGCUGAGCUUGCAGUGAGCCGAGAUCGCGUCACUGCACUCUAACCUGGCGGGAGGUUGCAGUGAGCUGAGAUCACACCACUGCACUCCAGCCUGGGCGACAGAGCGAGACUCCGUCUCAA
rnacentral:SRP_RNA from 1 species